GGACAAGUACACAAAAGGAGGAUACCAGGCAGGCCAAAGACCAAGGAGCACUUCUCAUUUGCAGCCCAAAUCUUCAACGCCGUCCCAACAGUGUUGUGGAGUAAUGCAACGUAGAAACGCAUGCAGGGGUUUGUGCAAUUGGGAGAUGUUAGGAAAGCCCCCACCCCACCCCCAUACAGAAGCAACUGGUGAAGAUGCUUUUCCCCUCAGGACUGCCCCAGAGGACAUGGCUGGGAGAGAUUCAAGUGCAGAAGGACCAAAGCUUUGGCUGAUGGAUUCAUUCAUGCAUACAUACGUGAAUACAUUUGUUCAUUCAUCCCUCUUGAGCUUCUACCGUGUCCCCUGCACUUUAGAGAUAAAAAGAUGAAAGAGGUGCAGUCCUUGCCUUACUUCACCCGCUGGUCCCUGGCUGGGCGGUGCUUCCACAGGCCCCUGAGUCAGCUCACAGUGGUAAGGCCCGUGAAGGAGGUUGCCCUGUGCAAGGGCCAGCCCUCUCAAGAACUUUCCUCAAGAUACCUUGUGGGUUUCUUAACCAAACUGAAAAAGACAGCAUCAUCUCACAGCCUCUGGUGAUUCUGAGAAAUGUCAGUAGUCUUCACCAAUCACAUAACAAUGAAAGACGUUACUUCAAGACAAUUUAAAAAGAAAUCGUUGCUCCCACAUCUAUGGACAGCUGAUCUUCUACAGAGGAAGCCUGGAACAUACAAGGGAGAAAGCAAAGUCUCUUCAAUAAGUGGUGUUGGGAAAACUGGACAGCCACAUGCAAAAGAAUGAAAGUAGACCAUUAUGUUACACCAUACAAAAAAAUUAACUCAAAAGGGAUUAAAGCCUUGGAAGUCUGACCUGAAACCAUAAAACUCCUAGAAGAAAACAUAGGUAGUACUCUCUUUGACAUCAAUCUUAGCAGUUUCUUUUUGAAUAUCAUGUCUCCUCAAGCAAGGGAAACAAAAGAAAAGAUAAACCAAUGGGACCACAUCAAACUAAAAAGCUUCUGCAAAGCAAAGGACACCAGCAACAAAACGAAAAGACAACCCACCAAUUGGGAGAAGGAAGAACCAGAGCUCCUUGGAGAAAUGGUCGAUUUCAGGUCUUGGGAGGAAGAUGGUUAAGAAGACCCUGAGACAUUGUCAGACAAGAAAGCAAGGCAGCUGUCAGAGACAUUUAGAGUGUGUCAAGGGCUCAGGACCAGAGGAAGAUUCACCCUGAACGAAGAUCUCUGCCAAUCCUCCUCUAUUUUGUAUGUGGGUCGCUGCCACAGCAUGGCUGAUGAGUGGUGUAGGCCCAUGCCUGGGAUCCAAACCCAUGAAGCUGGGCCACCGAAGUGGAGCAGGCAAACUUAACAACCAUGCCACCAGGCCAGCCCCUCAAUAUUUUUUAUAUUGAUUACAUGUUGAAAUGAUACUAUUUUGAAAAUAUUGGGCUAAAUAAAAUAUAUUAUUAAAAUUAAUUUUACUUGUUUCUUUUUUUUAACAUCAUGACUAGAAAAUGUAAUAUUACAUUUGUGACUG
rnacentral:lncRNA from 1 species